GCUAGUUUAGUAUAAGUAUUAAUACAAAAGACUGUAAAUCUUUGAAUAAUUUAAAAUUAACUAGAA
rnacentral:tRNA from 1 species